rnacentral:rRNA from 1 species
GAUCAAAUCAAGCGCGAAAAGGGCGUUUGGUGAAUGCCUUGGCAGUAAGAGGCGAUGAAAGACGUGAUACUCUGCGAUAAGCCAUGGGGAGCUGAGAAUAAGCUUUGAUCCAUGGAUUUCUGAAUGGGGCAACCCACCUGAUU